UGUCUUGUAAUUGGAAUGAUGGGAAUUUAAACCUCUUCCAGAGUAUCAAUUGGAGGGCAAGUCUGGUGCCAGCAGCCGCGGUAAUUCCAGCUCCAAUAGCGUAUAUUAAAAUUGUUGCAGUUAAAAAGCUCGUAGUUGAAUUUCUGCUGCAUUGCUUUUGCUCCUUUACGAGUCUUUGCAUUGUGGCUUAUUUCGGACUUUGUUUUACAAUGUCCGGAUGUUUACUUUGAGAAAAUUAGAGUGCUCAAAGCAGGCUUUCGCCUUGAAUAGUUUAGCAUGGAAUAAUAAAGUAGGACUUUGGUUCUAUUUUGUUGGUUUUAGGUACCAAAGUAAUGGUUAAUAGGAACAGUUGGGGGCAUUCGUAUUUAACUGUCAGAGGUGAAAUUCUUAGAUUUGUUAAAGACGAACUACUGCGAAAGCAUUUGCCAAGGAUGUUUUCAUUAAUCAAGAACGAAAGUUAGGGGAUCGAAGACGAUCAGAUACCGUCGUAGUCCUAACCAUAAACUA
rnacentral:rRNA from 1 species